GGUUAAGUUAGAAAGGGCGCACGGUGGAUGCCUUGACACUAGGAGUCGAUGAAGGACGGGACUAACGCCGAUAUGCUUCGGGGAGCUGUAAGUAAGCUUUGAUCCGAAGAUUUCCGAAUGGGGAAACCCACCAUACGUAAUGGUAUGGUAUCCUUAUCUGAAUACAUAGGGUAUGGAAGACAGACCCAGGGAACUGAAACAUCUAAGUACCUGGAGGAAGAGAAAGCAAAUGCGAUUUCCUGAGUAGCGGCGAGCGAAACGGAACAUAGCCCAAACCAAGAGGCUUGCCUCUUGGGGUUGUAGGACAUUCUAUACGGAGUUACAAAGGAACGAGGUAGACGAAGCGACCUGGAAAGGUCCGUCGUAGAGGGUAACAACCCCGUAGUCGAAACUUCGUUCUCUCUUGAAUGUAUCCUGAGUACGGCGGAACACGUGAAAUUCCGUCGGAAUCUGGGAGGACCAUCUCCCAAGGCUAAAUACUCCCUAGUGAUCGAUAGUGAACCAGUACCGUGAGGGAAAGGUGAAAAGCACCCCGGAAGGGGAGUGAAAGAGAUCCUGAAACCGUGUGCCUACAAAUAGUCAGAGCCCGUUAACGGGUGAUGGCGUGCCUUUUGUAGAAUGAACCGGCGAGUUACGAUCCCGUGCGAGGUUAAGCUGAAGAGGCGGAGCCGCAGCGAAAGCGAGUCUGAAUAGGGCGUUUAGUACGUGGUCGUAGACCCGAAACCAGGUGAUCUACCCAUGUCCAGGGUGAAGUUCAGGUAACACUGAAUGGAGGCCCGAACCCACGCACGUUGAAAAGUGCGGGGAUGAGGUGUGGGUAGCGGAGAAAUUCCAAUCGAACCUGGAGAUAGCUGGUUCUCCCCGAAAUAGCUUUAGGGCUAGCCUUAAGUGUAAGAGUCUUGGAGGUAGAGCACUGAUUGGACUAGGGGUCCUCAUCGGAUUACCGAAUUCAGUCAAACUCCGAAUGCCAAUGACUUAUCCUUAGGAGUCAGACUGCGAGUGAUAAGAUCCGUAGUCAAAAGGGAAACAGCCCAGACCGCCAGCUAAGGUCCCAAAGUGUGUAUUAAGUGGAAAAGGAUGUGGAGUUGCUUAGACAACUAGGAUGUUGGCUUAGAAGCAGCCACCAUUUAAAGAGUGCGUAAUAGCUCACUAGUCGAGUGACUCUGCGCCGAAAAUGUACCGGGGCUAAAUACACCACCGAAGCUGCGGAUUGAUACCAAUGGUAUCAGUGGUAGGGGAGCGUUCUAAGGACAGUGAAGUCAGACCGGAAGGACUGGUGGAGUGCUUAGAAGUGAGAAUGCCGGUAUGAGUAGCGAAAGACGGGUGAGAAUCCCGUCCACCGAAUGCCUAAGGUUUCCUGAGGAAGGCUCGUCCGCUCAGGGUUAGUCAGGACCUAAGCCGAGGCCGACAGGCGUAGGCGAUGGACAACAGGUUGAUAUUCCUGUACCACCUCUUUAUCGUUUGAGCAAUGGAGGGACGCAGAAGGAUAGAAGAAGCGUGCGAUUGGUUGUGCACGUCCAAGCAGUUAGGCUGAUAAGUAGGCAAAUCCGCUUAUCGUGAAGGCUGAGCUGUGAUGGGGAAGCUCCUUAUGGAGCGAAGUCUUUGAUUCCCCGCUGCCAAGAAAAGCUUCUAGCGAGAUAAAAGGUGCCUGUACCGCAAACCGACACAGGUAGGCGAGGAGAGAAUCCUAAGGUGUGCGAGAGAACUCUGGUUAAGGAACUCGGCAAAAUGACCCCGUAACUUCGGGAGAAGGGGUGCUUUCUUAACGGAAAGCCGCAGUGAAUAGGCCCAAGCGACUGUUUAGCAAAAACACAGCUCUCUGCGAAGCCGUAAGGCGAAGUAUAGGGGGUGACACCUGCCCGGUGCUGGAAGGUUAAGGAGAGGGGUUAGCGUAAGCGAAGCUCUGAACUGAAGCCCCAGUAAACGGCGGCCGUAACUAUAACGGUCCUAAGGUAGCGAAAUUCCUUGUCGGGUAAGUUCCGACCCGCACGAAAGGUGUAACGAUUUGGGCACUGUCUCAACCAGAGACUCGGUGAAAUUAUAGUACCUGUGAAGAUGCAGGUUACCCGCGACAGGACGGAAAGACCCCGUGGAGCUUUACUGUAGCCUGAUAUUGAAUUUUGGUACAGUUUGUACAGGAUAGGCGGGAGCCAUUGAAACCGGAGCGCUAGCUUCGGUGGAGGCGCUGGUGGGAUACCGCCCUGACUGUAUUGAAAUUCUAACCUACGGGUCUUAUCGACCCGGGAGACAGUGUCAGGUGGGCAGUUUGACUGGGGCGGUCGCCUCCUAAAGUGUAACGGAGGCGCCCAAAGGUUCCCUCAGAAUGGUUGGAAAUCAUUCGUAGAGUGCAAAGGCAUAAGGGAGCUUGACUGCGAGACCUACAAGUCGAGCAGGGACGAAAGUCGGGCUUAGUGAUCCGGUGGUUCCGCAUGGAAGGGCCAUCGCUCAACGGAUAAAAGCUACCCCGGGGAUAACAGGCUUAUCUCCCCCAAGAGUCCACAUCGACGGGGAGGUUUGGCACCUCGAUGUCGGCUCAUCGCAUCCUGGGGCUGUAGUCGGUCCCAAGGGUUGGGCUGUUCGCCCAUUAAAGCGGUACGCGAGCUGGGUUCAGAACGUCGUGAGACAGUUCGGUCCCUAUCCGUCGUGGGCGUAGGAAAUUUGAGAGGAGCUGUCCUUAGUACGAGAGGACCGGGAUGGACGCACCGCUGGUGUACCAGUUGUUCUGCCAAGGGCAUAGCUGGGUAGCUAUGUGCGGAAGGGAUAAGUGCUGAAAGCAUCUAAGCAUGAAGCCCCCCUCAAGAUGAGAUUUCCCAUAGCGUAAGCUAGUAAGAUCCCUGAAAGAUGAUCAGGUUGAUAGGUUCGAGGUGGAAGCAUGGUGACAUGUGGAGCUGACGAAUACUAAUAGAUCGAGGACUUAACCAUAUA
rnacentral:rRNA from 1 species